rnacentral:tRNA from 1 species
GGAGAGGUGGCUGAGUGGUCUAAAGCGCCGGUCUUGAAAACCGGUGAGGUCGUAAGGCCUCCGUGAGUUCAAAUCUCACCCUCUCCG